rnacentral:rRNA from 1 species
UACGAAGGGGGCUAGCGUUGUUCGGAAUUACUGGGCGUAAAGGGCGCGUAGGCUGUGCUGUAAGUCAGGCGUGAAAGGCCCGGGCUCAACCUGGGAAUGGCGCAUGAUACUGCGGCGCUGGAAGGCGGGAGAGGAUGGCGGAAUUCCCAGUGUAGAGGUGAAAUUCGUAGAUAUUCGCAAGAACACCAGUGGCGAAGGCGGCUCACUGGCCCGGUACUGACGCUGAGGCACGAAAGCGUGGGGAGCAAACAGG